rnacentral:rRNA from 1 species
CUACGGGGCGCACCAGUGGGGAAUAUUGCACAAUGGGCGCAAGCCUGAUGCAGCCAUGCCGCGUGUAUGAAGAAGGCCUUCGGGUUGUAAAGUACUUUCAGCGGGGAGGAAGGGAGUAAAGUUAAUACCUUUGCUCAUUGACGUUACCCGCAGAAGAAGCACCGGCUAACUCCGUGCCAGCAGCCGCGGUAAUACGGAGGGUGCAAGCGUUAAUCGGAAUUACUGGGCGUAAAGCGCACGCAGGCGGUUUGUUAAGUCAGAUGUGAAAUCCCCGGGCUCAACCUGGGAACUGCAUCUGAUACUGGCAAGCUGGAGUCUCGGAGAGGGGGGUAGAAUUCCAGGUGUAGCGGUGAAAUGCGUAGAGAUCUGGAGGAAUACCGGUGGCGAAGGCGGCCCCCUGGACGAAGACUGACGCUCAGGUGCGAAAGCGUGGGGAGCAAACAGGAUUAGAUACCCGGGUAGUC